GCGGGGGGUGUGGCGCUAGCCUAGGGUACUUGGCCCCGGAAGUCGCCGGGCAGCCUCCAGGGCAGGGCAGGGCAGGGUUUGGGCUGGGCUGGCCUCUGGGAGUGCUGCGGCGGCUUGUGGGCCAAGGCUAUCGACAGCCCAUCUUUUCGCAGCGGCACGGCUACAACUUUUGCUCUGACCUGGCGCGUGGGGCAGGGAGCAGCCGCUGCAGAGGUAGCAAGUCCCCGACUGGACGGCGAAAAAGAGGGAAUUUAAAGCAUUGAGCUGUGAAGAUAGCGUUUUGCAAUGGGAAAGAACUUCGUUAUCCCGUUGGGACUUCCAAAGUCCCUUUCGCCCUCUUCCUCCAUCCCGAAAACUGGAGGCAUAAAUGACUAACAGGUCCAAGGGAUGCUACAAGCUCUUCCGGCCUCCAAGGACUUCAGGAAUGCACAUGGUGCACAGACAAGCGUACAUACAGGCAAAACACCCAUAUAUAUUUUUAAAAAAAUAAAAUGUAUUAAAAUAGUUUUAUUUAUUUAAACUGGUUUAUAGAGCUAGUCAGGUGUGCCCACGAUUAAUGUUUUCAGGGAUAGGCUUCUAUGACAGAAGAUGUUGGCAUAUAUGAGACCUCAAAGCUUACCUCCACAGUGACACACUUCUCCAACAAGGCCACAUCUUCCAUUUUAGUGCCACUCCCUUUGGGGGCCAUUUUCUUUCAAACCGCCAUAGUCAUGGUGUUUGAGCACAGCAAUAGAAACCCUAAGACAAGUUUGUGCCUGGAUGGUGGGGUAUUGCUGUGACAGACCUGACCAUGUUGUCUUGGGGAGGAUUGUGGGAGGGAGGACUUUGGAACUUUAGACUAAAAAUGUCCUUGAGUCUUGAGAGCGCAGUGAACUCUUCUGUAGAUGCUUGAGAGAUAAGAAUGUUGAGAGCAGUGCAGAUGGUGAAGGCCUGGCUUGUGAAGUUUCAGAAGGAAGCAAAGACCCUACCAGGCCAUUGGAAUUAAGAAUUUGUGGUUCUCGUGAGCUGGGGCUGAAGAAUCAGCUGUGAUUAACAAGAUACCAGAACUACUAAAGUGAAAACGUUUGCUUGGCUAAAAUAUGCCGUUCUGGUCACCUGGAGCUGAGAAAUUAUCAGUGAUUAAGAGACCAGUAUCAUUGAGGUAAAACCUUCUGGGGAGUGUUUCCUUGAGAGCACACAGAAGCAGUGUUUUAGAGGGGGCCAAGGUUGUAAUGACAACUGAAUGGUUUUGAAGGCAUGAAGGGGUCAUGGAGAACAGCUGAGGCUCGGCACUGUGAGAGGCCAUUGGUGAAGGUGCAGCCACAGUAGCAGUUGAAGACCCAGGGUUGGAGGGUCCUGCAGAGACUUUGCACCUUGGCACCAUGAGGAGAGCCUAGGGAGAAGCUCUUGGUGAAAAUGCAGCCUAGCUUCAGUGGAAGACCCCAGCAUUUUGGAGAUGACCACCAAGAACAGCAAUAGCUGUGGAGCGAAGCCAUUUGGAGCCUAGAAGACAAGCUGUGUGUGUUGCAGAGGACAGAGCCGGGAAAAUGAUCCAAGUCCUUUAGAGGAGCAAAGAUACUGAGGGCCCCAGACAUUGGACAUUGUGUUGUUUACACUGUUGGGAAUUUGGGUUUUGCACAGUUCAGACUGUGACUGUGCCCUACUUCUUCCCUCUUUGAAGCAAUAAAGUACUUAGCUUAUUUUUGAUUUUACAGGAGCCCACAGUUGAGAGACUUUAAACUUAAAAAAAAAAAAAGAUUUUGGAGUUUUACAGAAAACUUGGAUUAUAAAAUAGAUUGGAUAUUUUUUAAGGGACUGAAAUUCUAAUGUGUUUGAAUUUGUAAAGACUUUGGGACUUUUAAAGUUAUUUAUAUUUUUUAUGUGAGAUCUUGAAGAUGAAUAAGUAAGCAAAGGUGUGGCUUAAUAGUGAUGUAUUUUGUAUGUCAAGUUGAGAAGGGGUCAGUUGUGCCAGAUGUGGGGGAUCAUCCCCCACUUUUACAACCAGGGCACUCUUGAGCAGGGAGAAGUAGGAAAUAUUUAGAUAAAAAGAGAUACCUAGGUGAUGAGAGGAAAGACAGAAACAUAGGAUAGCCUUGAGAGGGCCUAGGUCAAAACCCACCAGCCCAAAACUUUAUUCAAAAGGACUUUUUAUAGCAAUGCCAAGGGGCGGGGGGG